UACGUAGGGUGCGAGCGUUGUCCGGAAUUACUGGGCGUAAAGGGCGCGUAGGCGGUCAGCACAAGUCAGUUGUGAAAUCUCCGGGCUUAACCCGGAAAGGUCAACUGAUACUGUGCGACUAGAGUGCGGAAGGGGCAACUGGAAUUCUCGGUGUAGCGGUGAAAUGCGUAGAUAUCGAGAGGAACACCUGCGGCGAAGGCGGGUUGCUGGGCCGACACUGACGCUGAUGCGCGAAAGCUAGGGGAGCAAACAGG
rnacentral:rRNA from 1 species